CCCCUGCUCAGUCCGUAGCCGCCCUGCCAGAUGUAAACAUCAAGUCACCACUGCUCUUAUACAGUAGGAUCCAAGGUGACCAGAAGGUCAGUGAAGAGGAACCAUGGAGCCAAGAGCUUCAGGUCAGGUGGAGUCGUCCUGCAGGCUGUUUCCUGCUCUACUGAUGGUGGCAUGGAUCGUUGGCUGCAUGGUGGUAGUCUAUUUUGUCUUCGCCUAGAAGAGACGUCUAGUCCUUGUGCUUCAUGUUGGAACUCACCUCCCGACGACAGGAAGCUGAAUAGAAGACAAAGCAAAGCACCAAGGAAACUGGGUUUUUCUGUCUUAGCAGAUAUUUUCAUUGUGCAUGUCUGUAAAUAAUAGGCAGAAUCUACCGGCACGCCCAAAUUACUUUUAGGCCUAGAUUCAAUCAGAUCAAGUGUUAAGUUUGUUAAUGUUUUGUGCGUUGGAGCUGUCAAAAAGAGCAGCUGCGCUUGUGAUCAUUGUCAUGAAGCCACACCCGUCCCACUCACAUUAGAAGUUCAGAAGAAGAAUGUGUAGGUUAUAUAGACUUAAUGAAGCUCAAAUGGGAAACCAGGAUUUCUAUCAGCCUAACGGAGGUGUAGAUUACAUCACACGUUUCAGUGUUCCAACUUGUAAACAAGGCUGCAUGGGAUUUGGCUUAACGCAACUCCGUGCAGCCAAUGGCAUUGUCCCUCUUUAGGUACAAUGAUGGGAGUCGCUUGUGGAUAUGACAGCUCUAACACAGUUCCACAUCAGACACCGCCGGCUAGCGUGAAUCUGAUAUAAUCUAGUCCUUAUUGACUGUCAGUGUCAAUGUGUGAUCUUAUACUGCCUUCCUAUCUGUGACUCAUACAUGACGUUUCAUAAAGGAUCUGUCUGUACUCAAUCUGUACAUAGAGAUGGAUGUUUAUCUAGUAUAACAUGCUGACCAAACCACUAAAAAAAUAAAA